AGGAUGUCCACUGUCUAGGAGGGCUCUCUGGGCUUGAGACCUGAACCCUAGGUGACUGAGAGGCUGACUACGGGUGUCUGCGCCACAGAGGGACCCCAAGCAAAGAAGGGGGGCACGACGUGGAUGGAGACGGCAGCCAGAAGAGGGCAGGAGGGCAGGACUGGGAGACAGAGCAGGAUGAGCCUGGCUCCCCCCUCAGGGCUGAUUAACAGCAAACAGCUGGAGGUGAACAUCUGCUCUUCUUCUCCUAGGGGAGGCCUGUCCUUAUUCCCUCAAACUGUACGGAGCCUGCAGACAUCACCCCUCCCCACAAAGGAGACAGGAGGCUGGACAGAGAGAAGAGAAAAGAUAAACAUUCAUCAGUAAACAUCCCCAUUUUGCGGAGGGGAAACUGGCACAGGCAGGGGCGGGUACUUUCCUGAAGUCCCACAGACCUCAAGACUCAAUGCCCGUUGGUCUGGCCCCGAAUCAGACUCUUCUCCAGCUUCGAGGCGCUGGGGGUCUGUCCCCAGCAGGUGCAGCGCCCCCACUUCCCACCCCCAUCCCUGCCCCUUGGCCCAUGGGUUUACCCACGAAGGAGCCCAAAGCUCCACAAAGGAGCUGUGGUGUUGACUGGGUCCCUCGGGGGAGGCGGAACUGGUAGCAAGGCUGGCCCACUUCCCCCGCUUCUUGCUGCCGCAGCUUUUCAGCUCGCAGGCAGGUGGGCAUGGCUGACUUCCCGGAGAGCCUGCUACGUAUCAGGCACUGGGGUAAACAUUUCAGCACAUGACACGUUUCAUCCUCUUAACGGCCCCAUUGAGAUAGGUCCUUUCCCUCUACCCACUUUACAGAUGAGGAAAUUGAGACUCAGAAAUCUGAAGUCAUGCCCAAGAGCACAGAGCUGUAAGCAGCAGAGGUAAGAUUUUCUCUGGAAUCCUCUCUUAUAAGCUCUACACCACUCCCUUGGGUGAUGUGUCCCAUCUCCCUAAAUUGGGAUCCAGCUAGAUUGGAAGAGCAAACCCUUUUUUGCCUGCCCUCUGACCUCCUCUCACCUCCCAGAAAAGGACUGGCCUGGGCUCUGCAUCUAAGACAUGAGGCCACCUCUCCUGGCCCCCGGGGAGUGCUGGGCAGCAGGAAGAAGCCAGACAAGUUAUGAAUCCAGCCUCCUGUCUGCUCUUCCCUGUCAUACGCUGGAAUUCAGCUCCCUCUCGGAUCUGAAGGAAAUGAGUCGAGGGAUAGAGCUGGCACUCGGGAAGUAGAUAAAGGUGCAGGCUCACAUCCUGCUACCUGCUUGCUGUGGGCCCUUGGGCAAAUUACUUAACCUCUCUGUGCCUCAGCGUUGACAUCUAUAAAAUGAGGAAAUAAGACUACCAGGCUCAUAGGGAUAAUGAGAGGAUCGAAUCGCAAAGAGUGGCAGUUUGGAGUAGUGCCCAGCGCACAGUAAAUGCUAUUAUUAUUACUUAUUAUUAUUACUAGAGAGAGAACUUUUUAAAAAGGGAGGCCUGGAAAUAUGGGCAAGUCUAUAAAAAAGACAUGGGUGAUUUUGGGGGGGUCCAGAUUUCCUCAUUUUUCAACGCUGAGGGUUCCCGAGAGGGAAGGAAAGGGUGGAUGGUUUCCAGGUGACAUUCCUCCCUUCCCACCCCCAUCCCCAGGAGAAUAAAAAUUCCUCACAGGUUUCUGUGCUUUCAUGUGGAGCCUGCCAAGCCCUGGCCAGCAUUCCUCUGCUCCUCCUCUUGGGUUGGGGGCUGGCGGAGGGGGUCAUUAGCCCCUUUUACAGCUGUGUAAAGUGUGAGGGCAGACGCCUGUCCCUGAGGUCCCAGGUGGGACCAGCUUGAAGCAGGUGGCUUUGAGGCUGAGGGCUCAGGGAGGAAGCCCACAUGGGUAGCUGUCGGGACUACCUUCCACCCUCACACCAGCACCUGCAAAGUGUGCUGCUGC
rnacentral:lncRNA from 1 species